ACUUUCUGAUCAUCCCUUGAGUAUAGAGCGUAUAGUAAUGUUUGAAGAGUGAAUAAGUUUAAUAUAUUUAAAAGAACUCCUUAGGGUCCGAUUUUUCAUCUCAUUUUCUUCAUCGUUAUUUCUAUUAACAUUGAUUUGGAGAAUCCCUAGGUGUGCAUUGUUUCUCUCUAAUUUUUCAAAAAGUAGUAGUGAGGAGGUAAUCUGGUUUUUGUUUGUCUCUAUCUUUCUCUACCGAGGUCAGUACGUCAGAGCUGUCUUUCUACAUUUAUGCUUCGUACUUCCUAGAAAUUUCAUGAUCUUCUUAUGCAUGCAGAGGGAAGAAGCAGUAUGAACCACCUAGGUACAUGACAAUAAAGACUGCCAUUGAGCAGCUCCUGGAAGUUGUGCAAGCAAAAGUAGAAUCUGUCUGCAAUGAAGACACGGAGUGUGUUGGUUUUGCUAGAAUUGGAAGUGAAGAUCAGAUCAUUGUGGCUGGUACAAUGAAGCAACUUCAAUUGCAUGUUUCUUUCCUAUCAAAUAGUACUAUAAGAGUGUGCAACUACUCAAAUUUUG